rnacentral:rRNA from 1 species
UACGAAGGGGGGCUAGCGCUGUUCGGAAUUACUGGGCGUAAAGCGCGCGCAGGCGGUCUUCCAAGUCAGUGGUGAAAGCCCCGGGCUUAACCUGGGAACUGCGUUUGAUACGGCAGGGCUAGAGUUCGGGAGAGGAGAGUGGAAUUCCCAGUGUAGAGGUGAAAUUCGUAGAUAUUGGGAAGAACACCGGUGGCGAAGGCGGCUCACUGGCUCAUAUCUGACGCUCAGGCGCGACAGCGUGGGGAUCAAACAGG